GGGAGGGAAAUCUACCCUUCCAGGACACACCCCCAGUGACCCAUCAGUGGACUAAUCCACUGUGCAUCACACCUCCCAAAAGCCCGACCUAUGAGCACAUGAGGCUGUAGGGGGACAUCUAGAUAAAAACCAUAAUGUUAUUCUCUGUUGGGGAUAAGGAAAGGAAGUAGUUGGUUGUAUAAUGGGGAAGGGCUCUUUGGCUAACAUGUUUCUUUUAAACACUUUCCUCCCAGUCUCUUAUUUCUAGAACAAUACUACCUGUCUACUUUUAGAAGGACCACAUGUCUCCAAUUUCUGAUCUCUUCCAAGCUUCCACUGCCUGGAUCAACUUGCAUCUUAAUUUCUUCUCCUGCUAUAAGCCUAUGCUGAAGGACAAACUGUACUAUCCCUUCACUGCAAGCAGAGGACUGCGAUUGCAGACCUGGGCAAAUGUGGGUGCAUAACGCUAGGAGGAUACAGGCCUGCAGACAACACCAGAGAGGCAUGCUCCCAUCCCAGCAGGGCAUGAUCAUCUUACCAUGGCUAGGAGGAAGAAAUGGGAAUGCAAAAAAACUUGUUUGUUUUAAAAUCUCCAAGGCUUUUUGCUAGAACCAAGUGUCAACAACAGUGUGCUAUCUGGUCCAAGAGCCUGCCUGAGGCCAUCAUCACCUGGCAGCUUUUUGCUUCCCUGUUUUAAUAUAGAUAAGUUAAAGACUGAUGCCUGACCAAAACAACACUUUUAACAAUUAAAAAUUUAAAUAAAGUAACUGGAAGGAGAGGCACUAAUGGGAC
ensembl:lncRNA